rnacentral:rRNA from 1 species
UGGAGAAUAUUGCACAAUGGGGGAAACCCUGAUGCAGCGACGCCGCGUGAGCGAAGAAGGCUUUCGAGUCGUAAAGCUCUGUCCUAUGAGAAGAUAAUGACGGUAUCAUAGGAGGAAGCCCUGGCUAAAUACGUGCCAGCAGCCGCGGUAAUACGUAUGGGGCGAGCGUUGUCCGGAAUUAUUGGGCGUAAAGGGUACGUAGGCGGUUUUUUAAGUCAGGUGUCAAAGCGUGGAGCUUAACUCCAUUAAGCACUUGAAACUGAAAGACUUGAGUGAAGGAGAGGAAAGUGGAAUUCCUAGUGUAGCGGUGAAAUGCGUAGAUAUUAGGAGGAAUACCGGUGGCGAAGGCGACUUUCUGGACUUUUACUGACGCUCAGGUACGAAAGCGUGGGGAGCAAACAGG